rnacentral:rRNA from 1 species
CCUACGGGUGGCAGCAGUGGGGAAUAUUGCGCAAUGGGCGAAAGCCUGACGCAGCGACGCCGCGUGAGGGAUGAAGGUCUUCGGAUCGUAAACCUCUGUCAGCAGGGAAGAACGGUCACUGUGCUAAUCAGCAGCGAAUUGACGGUACCUGCAAAGGAAGCACCGGCUAACUCCGUGCCAGCAGCCGCGGUAAUACGGAGGGUGCGAGCGUUAAUCGGAAUUACUGGGCGUAAAGCGCUCGUAGGCGGUAUGUUAAGUCAAGGGUGAAAUCCCCGGGCUCAACGUGGGGACUGCUUUUGAAACUAGCAAACUAGAGUGUGAGAGAGGAUAGUGGAAUUCCAGGUGUAGGAGUGAAAUGCGUAGAUAUAUGGAGGAACAGCAGAGGCGAAGGCGACUAUCUGGCACAUAACUGACGCUGAGGAGCGAAAGCGUGGGUAGCAAACAGGAUUAGAUACCCUUGUAGUC